UACGUAGGGAGCAAGCGUUGUCCGGAAUCAUUGGGCGUAAAGCGCGCGUAGGUGGCCUCGUAAGUCCGCUGUGAAAGUCAAAGGCUCAACCUUUGAAAGCCGGUGGAUACUGCGGGGCUAGAGUACGGAAGAGGCGAGUGGAAUUCCUGGUGUAGCGGUGGAAUGCGCAGAUAUCAGGAGGAACACCAAUAGCGAAGGCAGCUCGCUGGGACGUUACUGACACUGAGGCGCGAAAGCGUGGGGAGCGAACA
rnacentral:rRNA from 1 species